UGACAUGUAAAGUAUAUUUUUCUGUAGUAAAAUUGCAUUGUAAUAUCCUAUGGAAAUGUAAAUAUAUGUAUAAUAUAUAUUUGUCUGUAAACUGAUGCUUAUGUACCCUCUCUUCUUACAGUUAGGAGCGGACAUUUCGUCUCGACAGCAGCUGGGUACAAAUCUGGACUGUUUAUUGUACUUUGUAUAUGUUUUACCAGUGUGUAAAUGAUCACGGCUGUGUUUGGUGUUGAGGCAGUAGAAGAAGUGAGGAAAGUGGAGGGAGAAUCUGCAACCCUACACAGCAGUGUACAAAAAUACCAGUGGAUCAUUUGACUGUUUGGACCUCAGAGAAAGAGAAUAGCUCAAAGUUGGGGAAACGUCAGUGAGAUCCCACGGUGUGAGAUUACUGACGAGCAAUUAAAAGACAGACUGAAGACAGACAGACAGACUGGAUCUCUCACCAUCAUGAACAUCAGAAAUGAAGACGCUGGACUUUAUAAUCUACAGAUCUUCAACCAUUUGACUGACAAGGAAUGUCUCUGGUGAGUAAAUUCGUUAUAUUGUUAAUUCAUUCAACUUUUAAUUUGUACAGCUUUUUCUGAAUUGUCAUAGUUAUUCUGACAUUGUAUGGCAGUAUAAAAAACUGUGAAAGAAACAUGCAUUCCCUUUAAGAGUUCAUGUUGAAGUGAGUAGAGUACAUAUAUUUAUAGCACAGCUGUUUGUGUUCAUCCAUAAAAUUAGAUAAUAUAAUUUCUUGAAAAAAAAAAAAAGUACCUCAACCUCUAUUGAAGUAACUUAGAAAUGUGCAGUGAUCUCUUGGUCCCGGUGACCUCACUGACCUGAUUCAUAACACAACCCCGGUGGUAAAUGACUGCUGAUAAUUCAGUAACUGUAGCUAUCUAGAAAUAAGAAACGAUUGUAGAAAAGAUUAACAUCACCCAUGACUGACGUAUGGAUCAGGAGUGUGUUUCUCAUUCAACAAUGUAAGUCUCUGCUUAGAUUGAUCAAAACAGAUUUAUCAUUGGAGAAAUUAACUGGUUAAUCCUGACUGUUUCUGGAAACCUCAUGAACUUUGUGACACAAACAUCAAACCACAUUUGUUUAACAAUAAAGAACUGACGUUCAUGACA